ACUUCGGGAUCAAAGUCCUUUAUUCAUCAACUGAAUCAAAGGCUUGACAGGGAGACUUUGUCAUCCAGUCAGCCCAGAUAAUACUUUCUGAGGUGACGGAUAACUUCUGCUGAAGAAAUAAAGCCAUGAAUUUACAAGCACAAGGAACACACGAAUGACACGAGAUGACUUUGUUCUUUGGGUGCCUACUGCUAGACAGACGCAUCCUGUUGUGAUAAAGGAGACCAGCUGGAUUUAGGACUGCGGCGGCGUGUUUGCGGGCUCGCAGCACCAGCCGGCACGAGAGAGCGCAGUGCUCGCUCUGCUGCUUCCUCAGCUGCUGAGGAAAUGGGACACGAGUGGAAAUGGCUUCAGUGUUCCCAUGGAACAGGGGAUGUGCAGAACGCGUUGGGCAUUACUCUCGGUGCGGCACAGUGUGCACAGCGCUGCGGCACGCAGGGAGGGACCUCUCAGCAUCUGGUCACCUUCAGCCAGCGUUGCCAAGUCACUGCUGCUCGGGAGCAGCCAGAGCACGGCUUCCACUUUCAGGCUCUUCCUUCCCCGUGCUGAAGCUGAGUAACAGAUUUGCAUACAAUAUGAAUACGCUGUUUUGUUUCUUGUAGCGCCCUGUAUUAAAAUUUCAGAAACCACUCUUAAAUAAAAGCUCUGUCAGCG
rnacentral:lncRNA from 7 species